GACGCUUAAGGAGGGAGAGGGUAAACCGGGUCAAGUGAUAUUAGCCUCGUUUAUGACAAGACAGGUUGAGCUUGGAGUGGUUAGAGACAACUGGUUAAAUAUCACUUGACACACUUCUUAAAGAACCAAAAACCGACUCAUUAUGGGUCUAAAAAGAAAACUAAACAAGCCUUGUGUAUGAUUUGGUGGAAAUACCUUUGUAAAAUUUGGAAAUAUCAGGAGAUUUUAAAAUUGAGGUUUCCAGGCCCAGAAAAAUAAUGGAAAUUUAUUAAAAUAAUACAAUACAAUACAAAAAAGAAGAAAAAAAAAUCCUAUUCUUUAACUAUGAAUGACUGGAAAGGUCAUGGAAAUGUCAUGAAAAUUCAUUGGUUUAAAAGGGUGGGGGAUGUUCUGUCUUGAGAAGGCACACUUCUCAGACAUUUACUUUUUUCUUCCUCCACAUUGGUCUCUAGAAAACAAAACAUGGCUCCCCACUGAAACUAGUAGGCAGAUCAUGAUAACAUGACUUCUCAAAAUGGUGAGCACAUGUGCUUUUACUAAACACGCCGGCAGGAAAUGUUGCUUUCAAGCAAGCACCUCAACGUAUCAUGAAUGUGCAACAGAAUAACUGAGGUGAAGAUUUUUGAUAAAUACUACAAUACAUUUUGCUUUGAUUCUCAGCAUACUCAAAUAUUCAGGCCAAGUUGCAUUAUAUUAUUUUGUGACAGUUAUGCAUCCUUUUUUAGAUCUAUAAGGUGGUUACCGUUCCCUGCCGAUAUAUGGACAAGCACAAGCAUCACAGCUGCUUUGCAUUCAUGAUCCAUUUCUCUUCAAAAUUCGGGAUGUGGAAAAAGGACCCCAAAGAGGAGAAUAGGAUAAGAUGGGCUGGUCAGCCAUGUCCUACCUUUAAAAUGUUUUUUUUUUCUUCUUCUUCUUUUACAAUUUAGUUUUAAUUGAUAUAAUGCCAUUUAACAACUGUUUCACCAAAUUUGCCAGAACUUCUC
ensembl:lncRNA